rnacentral:rRNA from 1 species
UGGGGAAUUUUGGACAAUGGCGAAAGCCUGAUCCAGCAAUGCCGCGUGUGUGAAGAAGGCCUUCGGGUUGUAAAGCACUUUUGUCCGGAAAGAAAUCCUUGGCUCCAAUACAGUCGGGGGAUGANGUACCGGAAGAAUAAGCACCGGCUAACUACGUGCCAGCAGCCGCGGUAAUACGUAGGGUGCAAGCGUUAAUCGGAAUUACUGGGCGUAAAGCGUGCGCAGGCGGUUUGCUAAGACCGAUGUGAAAUCCCCGGGCUCAACCUGGGACUGCACUGGUGACUGGCAGGCUAGAGNAUGGCAGAGGGGGGUAGAAUUCCACGUGUACAGUGAAAUGCGUAGAGAUGUGGAGGAAUACCGAUGGCGAAGGCAGCCCCCUGGGCCAAUACUGACGCUCAUGCACGAAAGCGUGGGGA